rnacentral:rRNA from 1 species
UAGAUGCGAGAGUAGAGCAUAUCAAUAAGCGGAGGAAAAGAAACUAACAAGGAUUCCCUUAGUAACGGCGAGUGAAGCGGGAAGAGCUCAAAUUUGAAAUCUUCAAGGUUCUACCUUGACGAAUUGUAGUUUAUAGAAGUGUUUUCUGUUAGUGGAGUUCGGUAAAAGUUCUUUGGAAUAGGACAUCAUAGAGGGUGAGAAUCCCGUAUUUGGUCAUUCCUCCUAGCGUUGUGAUACACUUUCAACGAGUCGGAUUGUUUGGGAAUGCAGUCCAAAAUGGGUGGUAAAUUUCAUCUAAAGCUAAAUAUUGGCGAGAGACCGAUAGCGAACAAGUACCGUGAGGGAAAGAUGAAAAGAACUUUGAAAAGAGAGUUAAACAGUACGUGAGAUUGUCAAAAGGGAAGCGUUUGACACCAGUGUUGUUUUUCCGAAAAUCAAUUACGAAUGUUUUGUUUUUGAGGAGUUAUGACUUCAUCGGCUUGCUUCUCUUCUUUACUGAAACUUUCUUAAUGCACUUUUCGGUUAACAAGUCAACAUCAAUUUCUUUUGUUGUAAAAGGGUAUGAGGAAGGUGGCUUUCUUUUCGGAGAAAGUGUUUAUAGCCUUGUAGCCUCUGCAAUCGGAGAGAUUGAGGUCUGCAGCGUAGAUCCUUCGGGGUUAGAUACAGUUUGUGCUAAGUUAUAGCUUUUCAUAGACAACUUGUUGACUAUGUUAGUCUUGUAGCUUACUCGCUGAUGCUAUUUUACCUACGCUUAGGAUGUUGACACACGCGCGUGCUCG